rnacentral:rRNA from 1 species
CUUGAUAACUAUAAGAGGUCCAGCCUGCCCAGUGAUAAAUUCAACGGCCGCGGUAUCCUAACCGUGCGAAGGUAGCAUAAUCACUUGUUCUUUAAAUAGGGACUCGUAUCAACGGCAUCACGAGGGUUACACUGUCUCCUCUUUCCAAUCAGUGAAACUGAUCUUCCCGUGAAGAAGCGGGAAUGAACUAAUAAGACGAGAAGACCCCAUGGAGCUUUAAACCUCACAGCAACUCUAACAUAUAUUCCCCUAUAACCCGCAGAGCAAUGCUAGUCGGUUUUAGGUUGGGGUGACCGCGGAGCAAAAACUACCCUCCACGACGAACAGAACUAAAUCUUUAUCCAAGAGCAACUACUCUAAGAACUAGCACACUAACAUAUCAUGACCCGAUAAUCGAUCAACGGACCA